AUGUGGUUUAAUUCGAUGAUACGCGAGGAACCUUACCUGGGCUCAAUGUAUGUUGACGUAUUCUGAAAGGGAUACUCUUCGGACAAUAUACAAGGUGCUGCAUGGUUGUCGUCAGCUCGUGCCGUGAGGUGUCGGGUUAAGUCCCGCAACGAGCGCAACCCUCGCCCUUAGUUGCCAGCAUUUAGUUGGGCACUCUAAGGGGACUGCCGGUGAUAAGCCGAGAGGAAGGUGGGGAUGACGUCAAGUCCUCAUGGCCCUUACGGGCUGGGCUACACACGUGCUACAAUGGUGGUGACAGUGGGCAGCGAGCACGCGAGUGUGAGCUAAUCUCCAAAAGCCAUCUCAGUUCGGAUUGCACUCUGCAACUCGAGUGCAUGAAGUUGGAAUCGCUAGUAAUCGCGGAUCAGCAUGCCGCGGUGAAUACGUUCCCGGGCCUU
rnacentral:rRNA from 1 species